AUUACUCAAAAAGCUGUUUCCAGUAAACCUGUAAUGUUGGUUUAAGAUACAUGCUGUAUGCAGGGAGAAGCAACUUCUAAUUGAGCAGUGAAUAUAUCAACAGAUCCUAAGGUGUUUCAUACUGACAAUGGGUGUGUUUAGUGGAUCACUGCAAGGUGUUCCUUAACCCAAUCUCCAGUGAGAGGGAAAUGGAUGCUACUAAAACUGCUUAGGAAUACCAUAAAAAAUGAAGUCUGUCACAUUAAUAAAACAAGUCUGAAUCAGGUCAAGCCAUCAUGGAGAUAUUGG
rnacentral:lncRNA from 1 species